rnacentral:rRNA from 3 species
AAAACGACUCUCGGCAACGGAUAUCUAGGCUCUCGCAUCGAUGAAGAACGUAGCGAAAUGCGAUACUUGGUGUGAAUUGCAGAAUCCCGCGAAUCAUCGAGUUUUUGAACGCAAGUUGCGCCCGAAGCCAUUCGGCCAAGGGCACGUCUGCCUGGGUGUCACGC